UGGCUCCUUUCUGCCUCAAGCCUAUCAAAAGAGCCCAAUUUCCAAGAGUUCAGAGGGCCUCUGGAGAUCUAGGCCACACUUCUCACUUUGUUGAAGAGAAACACAGGUUCUGGGGGUUGUGACUCACCCAUGGUCUUACAGCAGAUCAGUGGCAUCCCUGGGACUCACAGGUGGAGGUAGAGUAACAGCUCUCACUUCCCAGGACUGGCGUCCAGAGAGUGGGCUAUGGGCCUAUCCAUCACACGCUUGCAGCACGUGAGUGGUAUCCACAAGAGUGGCUACACCAGCGUGUGGGGUGUCAGCUUGGAGGAAUGGGGGAGUAUACACCGUGGCCCCAGGAUAUGAGCAGGUGGCAGCUGCUAUUACCACAUCAAGCCUCUAGGGGGUGCAAUUUGCCUUAAAGUUCCUGGUGGUAAUUGUCCUUAGUGCAACU